CCGGCGCACGGGUGAGUAACACGUAUCCAACCUGCCGUCUACUCUUGGCAGCCUUCUGAAAGGAAGAUUAAUCCAGGAUGGGAUCAUGAGUUCACAUGUCCGCAUGAUUAAAGGUAUUUUCCGGUAGACGAUGGGGAUGCGUUCCAUUAGAUAGUAGGCGGGGUAACGGCCCACCUAGUCUUCGAUGGAUAGGGGUUCUGAGAGGAAGGUCCCCCACAUUGGAACUGAGACACGGUCCAA
rnacentral:rRNA from 1 species